rnacentral:pre_miRNA from 1 species
UGUUAGUGCGCUUGGCGAAUUCGCAUGCCCUAUCUUGUGGUAUGAACUGAGCACACGAUAAUUUAUGGUGCGUAUUGGGGGCUUACAAUAAGAUAAUGCCGUGAAUUUGCUAAGCGUUCAAACU